GGCGGAUGUAGCCAAGUGGAUCAAGGUAGU
rnacentral:tRNA from 2 species